UACGUAGGGAGCAAGCGUUGUCCGGAAUCAUUGGGCGUAAAGCGCGCGUAGGCGGCUUGACAAGUUGGAGGUGAAAGCCCGGAGCUCAACUUCGGAAUUGCCUUCAAGACUGUCUCGCUCGAGGCAGGGAGAGGAGAGCGGAAUACCCAGUGUAGAGGUGAAAUUCGUAGAUAUUGGGUGGAACACCGGUGGCGAAGGCGGCUCUCUGGCCCUGAUCUGACGCUAAGGCGCGAAAGCGUGGGGAGCAAACAGG
rnacentral:rRNA from 1 species